UGAAGGAAGGAGGCGGAGGGAGGAAUGCUGCAGGAUGCUUACCGUGAUGGCUGUCAGACCGAGUGGCGAUUAGACUAAACAUCCUUUUUUUCAUGUCACAUUGACGAGGAUGAUAACCACCAUGUCCGCAGCAGGUGUCGCGGUGUGGCUUAGCACGGUGGUGACCAUCCUGUCGAGGUCGCAUGCAGACCGAAAUGUGUACCCGUCUGCAGGAGUGCUGUUUGUCCACGUUCUGGAGAGAGAGCACUUCAAAGGAGAGUUUCCCCCCUACCCAAAAUCAGGUGAUGCCAGCAAUGACCCAAUCACUUUCAACACCAAUCUAAUGGGCUACCCUGACAGGCCGGGCUGGUUGCGCUACAUCCAGAGGACCCCGCUCAGCGACGGGGUGCUCUAUGGCUCACCCACUGCAGAGCAUGUUGGCAAAGCCACUGUCAUAGAGAUUACUGCCUAUAACAGACGCACUUUCGAGACGGCACGGCACAACUUGGUCAUAAACAUCAUGGCUACAGAAGAGUUCCCUCUGCCCUACCAAGCUGAGUUUUACAUAAAAAACAUGAACGUGGAGGAGAUGCUGGCCAGCGAGGUGCUGGGGGAUUUCCUGGGAGCGGUGAAGAACGUGUGGCAGCCAGAGCGCCUCAAUGCCAUCAACAUCACCUCAGCGCUGGACCGAGGCGGCCGUGUUCCCCUGCCCAUCAAUAACCUGAAGGAGGGAGUGUACGUGAUGGUUGGUGCUGAUGUUCCCUUCUCAUCCUGCCUGCGUGAGGUGGAGAGUCCUCAUAACCAGCUGCGCUGCAGUCAGGAGAUGGAGCCUGUCAUUAGCUGUGACAAGAAGUUCAGAGCUCAGUUUCAUAUUGACUGGUGUAAGAUUUCUCUGGUUGACAUCAACAAAGUGGUUCCGGUGUACAUUUCCCGUCCUGACCCUGGUACUGGGAUUCUUCCCGAAUUUGCGCCGUACGACCCUCCUUCUGAAUCUCUCAAGAGCCGGGACUACUUUUCAGACUUCCUAAUCACUCUGGCUGUUCCCGCCGCCGUGGCUCUAGUCCUCUUCUUCAUCCUCGGCUACACUAUGUGCUGCCGACGAGAAGGGGUGGAAAAAAGAAACAUGCAAACACCAGACAUCCAGCUGGUUCACCACAGCUCCAUCCAGAAGUCCACCAAGGAGCUGCGGAGCAUGUCUAAGAACAGGGAGAUCUCCUGGCCACUAUCCACCCUGCCUGUUUUCAACCCGGUUAGCGGCGAGGUGGUGCCACCCAUCCAUCCUGACAACUAUGAGACUACCAGCAUGCCUCUAAUGCAGACACAGACGAAUCUGCAGAAUCAGAUUACGAUACCACAGCAACGGCCAUCAGAACUGUUGAAUCAAAAGCUUCCUGAUGCAGAUAACGGACAGUAAAAGAUUUUGCUGUAGCUCUGCAAGAAAUCAUGCAUGAGAACCUUAGUUCCUUGUCCAGCCUGUCUCUUCAAGCCUGGUGAUGGGUGUGUGAGCGCCCUCCAGUGUGCAUGCUGCUUACCUGCAUGACAGUUUCAGCACUAACCUGCUUCUCUCUCUGUUCACUGCUAACAAAGGAGAAAAUUAUGUCAUGUCCACAUUUCGAAGACUAGAGGUAAAUGGUAUUCCUGAGGAACGAAAGGUGGCAGAAGCGCUGAACUUGUGACCAGAAACCAGUGUGAAAGCACUCUUUGAUUCCAUAUCUUUGUUUUUUUUUUUUUUUUUUAACAAUUGUGCCAAUCUGCAUGCCUCAAGUGUUUGAAAACUUACCGUCCAUGUGCACUUACACCUUAAAGAGUGAGAGUGUGAUCAAGAAUAAGAAGAGAUUAGCUUAUUAUAAAAAAAGAGUAUUUUUAAAUAUAUGUGUAAAUGUUAAAAUGAUGAUGUUAGCAUUUCUACUUGCUUUGCACAACAGACCUCUUAGAGGAAAAGGGAAUUUUACAAAGAAAUGCUUUAUCUGUCGUGUUAAUUACAUGUAAUUUGUCACGAGAAUAAAUUCUUUAA